GGCGAUGGAUGUGACACCGGCGGUGCGCGGGGAUGGAUGUGACACCGGCGCGACGGCGGGCGCGGCAGCUCACCCUGCGUGAUGCGCGGCGCGGUGACAGAGACGGCCAGCAAUAUAGAUCCUGUUGUCCCAUUGUUACAAGGUUUCUGACUCCUCGACUCUCUUGCCUGAAAAUACAAUCAAACGAGGUUUACAAAACAACAGGACCAUAUUUCUGGUUUCCACAGAGCAGCCAGUGAGGAAGUAUGGAACAGCAUCUUUUGUUGAAAUGACACCCUGGACACAUGCCAGAUUUUUAAGGAGUUACAUUUGAGGAUUUGCUAUCCAAAUUUUGAGACAUUCUAGAAGACCAUUUCCCUGCGGUAUUAGUGUGAUGAUUAUUACAUCAUUCAAUUAGAAAAUAAUGGUGUAAGAACAAAAAUCUGUUCCCUUUUCAGUUUCCAAGGUCUUUAAAAAGAAAAAAAGAGAUUUUAAGUGCUAGCAGCAUAACUUUGCUGAACUCAGCAUUUCACUUCAAAGGUAUUAGUUUGUCUCUCUUCAAAGGUUCCAGUUUGCCUCUGUAGUUUUACGUGAAAAUGUUAUAUUACAGCUUCUUCCUGAAAGGUAAAGAUAUCAAAAUGCUCCUGUAUAGUUUUUAUGCUAUUGCAACUAUAUACGGAAAUAGCUGUUAAUGAUAUUGAUAUAAGAAAUGAAUAAAUAAAAUGAAAUCAUAAAUAAAAAGCAAAACUGAACUGUUUCCAUAAAUUAAAUAUGCAUUACCAGGGAUUUAAGUAAUACAGAAUUUCAUUGCUUCUUGAAUCUUACAGUAUAUUGAAAAUUGCUAAUGGUUCCCCCUUACUGAAACUGCCAGCUUUAUUAAAUAAAUAAUUGUUUUUGUUUAAUCUUGAAGAAAGAACAAUUUAAAUAAUAUAAGUAUCUGCAAACAGUGAAGGCCAUCAGUAGAGUAUUGGACAAGGUGGCACACGGGAAUUAACAGUCCUGUACCAGGAGCAGACACAACUGCAGGUAGGGGAAUGAGGAGGCUCAACAGCGACCAGGGGAACUGGGGGGCAGCACCUCCUUGAGUUUACACCUCAGUGAUGUGCAGCUGGAGCAAGGAAAGAGCCUACUUAUCUUGUUCCUGCAGUUUGAGGAAGAGGCAUUUGGCAUGCUUAUUUUUCUUCGUAAAAGAAUAUGUUUGCACCAAGAACAUAUCUUACUUCUAGCAGCAAACUGUCCUUCAAACAAAACAGUUCUGCAAGGUCUGAAAAUUUGACUCACUGUUUAAGCAACAGUGUGAAAAAACCCAAACUGGGUUUUCUGUCUUGCCUUAUGUAGUUGAACAUAAAAGUCUAAGGGUUUGUAUCACAGCUGGCCUGGGGCGCAGUCCUUAAGCUCAGUGGAGGCCUUAACAUACCCUCCCCUGCAACAGACUAUGUUUGUAUUUCAUACGUGUCAUUCUGAGAACAAUCUUGUAAUGGAAGAAAACCAGCACUAUUUGUUCACCCAGCAGAAUAUGAGUACUUUAAUCUCUGAUGAAAAAUUAAUGUGACCAAUAAAUAGUAAGCACAUACCAAAUUUUUCUUUCACCUUUCAUUUGUCUUGUACUACUUCAGCCUGUAUCAGCUCCCUUUACCAGCUCAGCAAGAGAAGCAAAAUAAAUGAAAUAUAAGUAAUGGAUCAAAGACAAGACAUAAUCCUUAUCUAUUAGAACCAAAGAAAAGAAGCUGUUAGACAUUUCCACAAGCCUAUGGAUUCUGCUAUAUAUGAGGGAUUAAUGAGCUCUCACCUGCCACAGAGGUUAAAGGGAUUCAGUUGGCCAUGGAAUCUGGUAGGCACAAUGCAUUAUAGAAUCCCCUUCAGGAGGUUGAUUUCUAAAAUUUACAUUAAAUCAGUUUCUUUUGCUCUUUUGAUUCUGUGUAACCAUUCUGUAACCUUGCUCCUCAUGGGUUUAGCACCUUUUACUUUCAGGUUAAAUUUACUUUCUAAGUUUGAGCACUUUUGGUAUUAUGCAAGCGUUGUCCCUUAGCCUAUCAUCUUUUCCUUCUCGAAGUAUUUUUAAACAGCAGCAGGUUCCCUCCAUCGAGCCCUUGUUUUGCUGGAUGAAACAAACCACACUCUCCUAAUCUUCCCUUUGGCAGCCCUUCUUUGCAUCUGUUUUAGUCUGAAUAUAUCUUUCUCUAAUAGCACUGACCAAAACUAUAAUUAUAGUCAACUGUGGCUGCCUGCAGCUUGUGCAAUAGAAUCAGUAUCUUCAUUUCACUGCUGGAAUGGACACUGACAGGAAGUAUCUUAACGUGGUCACAUUUGGACACUUAAAAGUUUUAUUUUCCUUCCUUUGUUAAUGAAAGCUCCUUCAAUUAACAUCUCCCUGUGCACAGAUAAUUAGAAGCUAAGAGGUGACCUAAGAGGGCAUCUAAGAAAACCUAAGAGUCUUUUCUCUUUCUGACUUUGCAUAAAAGGAGAUUAUUUUAUGCCUAUUCCUUUUCAUAUCCUAGUCUGCACUCUUUCUUUCUGCCUUUCAAAAUCAAAGGCAUUUUGUCACUUUUGCAAAUUUGGUAUUUUCCCUUUCCCAACUAAAGCCUAAACUCAUCACAGAACCAUAGAAAGGCUUGGGUUAGAAGAGACCUUAAAGAUCAUCUUUAAGAUCAUCCCUAUUGCUGUGGGCAGGGACACCAAUAGUUCCUGAUUUUAUUUCCAGGAUACAGGCACAUUUAAAAAUGGUAACAAUCAUCUGGUCGGACAAACCUUGCAGUCGUCUCUGAAUGCACAAGUUACCUAGAAUGCUUAUCUACUUACGCUCUUCUUGUGAUUAUUCUAAAUUCAAAACUCACACUCAUGUAAUUUUUUCAGGUUUGCUCACGUUUUCCUGUCUGGGGAAUUCUCUGGUGCAGUGAUACAGUUAUUUUAGCAGCUGUGACUGCUGAGGCGAUUUCAGUUUUUUAACUGAAUAGCCCCACAGCAUUCCCAGGGAUACUUUUUCAAAGCAGGAUUCCUUUAACAUGAUGUUCUGCAGUAGAGUAUUCCUCUUCCCAUUGUUAACAUUUUUAUUCUUCAGAGGCACUUUUUUUAUGCUAGUCUCUUCUCAAAUCCAUGCUGCACUGAAAUCAUAUUGUUCAAAAUACUCAUGAUCCCUCCUAGAUUCAUCUGUGAAGAGAAUUAUCAUGUUCUUCAGUCCAUCACAAAGAUCAGUUAAAACCUGCUUGUAUUUGACCCAGUGCUAAUUCCUCUGCUCCCUAUCAAUAAACCCCUUUAAUUUAAAAUUCUGUUUUCUAAUUUAGCGAGAUCUCAUUCUACUACAGCUCUUAUUCCAUUUUCUGCUGUUAAAGUAUCAUGCAGCAUUCCACAGCCAAUGCCUCAAACUUCCUGAAAAUAAUUUUACUUUAUACUGCAGGAACACAUCCAUAGUAGUUAGGAUUUCUGAGAGAUUGCUGGUUUUUUUUGAAGUAACUAAAAACUAAUUACAGCUCAAGUGAAAUACCUAUUGCAUCUCCACAUUUCAAAAUGGUUUACAGAGGAGAAAAAACUCAUUAGUGCCUGAUGACAGUGCAGCACUUGCAAUACCGAGGAUCAAGUUAAUUUGAAGGCAUUCAAUACAAGCACCUUGUGAAUUUAUGUACACAGAGGCCUAAAACAGUCUGAAUUAAUUACUCUAUAGCUCAACUAAAUUCCAUAUAUACUUUUAAAAGCCACACUUAAGAAAAAUACUGUUAUAGCAAUAAAGAGGAGGGGAAAAAGAGGUGAAUGAAGAUAUGAGAGCAGCUUCCAGCAAAAACAGUAUUGUCACAAAUCCAGCUUUUACCCUAUAUUUGAAAUAAAAUGCUCAGAACAUGAGGUUUUAUUUAUAUAAAAGAAAUAAAUGGAAACAUUAUCACUUUUGUUCACUAAAGGUACCUGUUUCCUUAGAUAAUACUUACCCCAAAAAACUGUGACUGGAAAAUUAUGAAUUCAGGAUAAUGCUUUUGAUAUCUCAUGGACGAUGCUGUGGACUUUGCUCUUUGCCAGAGAAGUAUGCAAUGUGUGUUAUUUCAUGAGACUACUUGAUAUUGUUUGUUUUGACUUAUGGUGCAACACGGUUUAACUCUGUACAAAGUAGCUCUAUCAGAAAAAUGUUGACAUUUCUUUUGUAUAUGCUUAAAUCAUCUCACACCUAUGGGAAAGAUUUGAUCUCAUUACUCUUCUACUCAGUUCUUAAUAAUUGAAAUGCAAAAGAGAGACUGGAUUGUGAUCAUAAAUCUCUGCCUUGUGUGGCAAACAUAAGGGAGAGAACGUGGGAUGAAAAGGAUGAAUAUCUGAGUAAAAUGACACAGGUCAAAAUUAAAAAUAUAUCAAAUUAAAUAAGAAAAAAAGAACAUCCCAAUCAAAUGUUUUCUUUCACAUUCUGAAUACGACGUAGCACCUCCAAGAAUCUCAGCUGUCUGCCUCAUAAUUCUUUCCAAACUGAAGCCUAAUAACACUUUCAAUAUUUUAAAAUAAGUACAGAAGGUGACUAUCAUAAUAAAUGUUAUUUUUAGUAGAUAAUGCAAUGGCAGGUGAUUAGCUCCAAACAGCAAAGUGACAAAUGCAUUGAUUUUGGUGAAACUGGAUGCUUUAGCUACUGCAUAGAGCUUACAUUUUAUCCAGUCAAUAUUCUCAUGCACUGUAGCUGUCUACUGUAAGACAAACAUUCCCCCAGGCACCUGGCAAACAAUCUUAUUAACAGGUACAUGUCAACACGUGACAGCAGCUGUGUCCACCUCAAAUUUCACUGCACUGUUUUGAAGAGCUCCCACGUACCUUCCUGUUGCUGAGAAUGCUGUGUGAGACACUGGGUUGUCACAGCUCACGGCAUCCCUCAUGGCAUAUGCAGGAAGCACACCCAAAGGAACGGGCAAUAGGACUGGACUAUGUCCUAAAAGUUAACUUCACAGCCCUGACAUAAUUUCAGGAGAAUGCAUAUAUGAAAGUUGGAGGACAAAAGGAAAUUUAUAUAAUUUGAUGCUGCAACUUCUAAUUUUCUUCUUGACUGGAAUUACACUUCAAGUCUGGCACCCAAAACUUAAGUUUCCAUAAGAAACUUUCUCAUUCAUAUGAACUAUUUCAAUAUUUUCUUUCCUUUAUCCUUUAACUGGAAUAGCUGCUUAAGUGAAGUUUUGGGGCUUGGGAUCACUUUCAAAUAAUGAGUUAAUCAAUCUGAAGUUAUUACCAUAAAAAAAUAAUCAGAAAGUUCUAAAAAUACCAGUUAAUGUUGAUAAUUUAAUAGGCCAUUUAUAGUCAUCCAAACAUUUUACUCAAUACUGUUAUGUACAAAAUCCACUAAAAUAAAAAACAAAUUUAAAUGUUAUCUUUCAGAUGUAAAAGUGCAAUUAACACAGGCAGAGUUUUUGCAAGAAUAUUACAUUUCUAUUAAAUUCACUGCCUACAUAAGAGCCUAACAGGUAUACUGCCUACACUAAAGUGAAU